rnacentral:rRNA from 1 species
AUGAGUUCCUGCCUUUCCCAUAUUAUUAGAGAUCAUUCCCUUGACUUUGUUUGUCUGCAAGAGACUCAUAAGAAGAAGUUUCAGGAUGGUUAUUUUAGGAAAAUUGACCCUUGUACUGCUUUUGAUUGGGAGUGGAUCCCAUCUAUGGGAAAAUCCGGGGGAAUACUGUGUGGAGUUAGAAGAGAGAGAUUUGAAGUGGUUGCUUGGAGGAAAGGCAAAUUUAUCCUCCAAGUUAAUGUAUAUGAUGUCAAUAUUAAGAAAAUUUGGACCCUAUGCAAUGUAUAUGGAGCAGCCCAUGAUAAGGACAACCAGGAAUUCCUCGUUGAAUUAGCUGACUUUUGCGCUCAUGUACAAAACCCCUUGUUAAUUGGGGGUGAUUUUAAUAUUCUUAGGCAUGAGGAAGAGAAAAAUAAAAACUGGCACCGCUCCCCUUACACAGAUAUGUUCAAUUCUGUGAUUAACGCGAUGUGCCUUAGUGAAAUUCACAUGAAUGGGGGGAUGUAUACUUGGACUAACAAUCAAGUCCAUCCGACCCUGGAAAAGCUAGAUAGAAUCCUUAUGAGCAGUGAUUGGGAGGACCUUUUUCCUCAAGUUAAUGUUAGGAAAAUUGUUAGAGACAUUUCUGACCAUAAUGCUCUUUUGAUGUCCUCUGAUAACCAUGUUGUCAGAGUCCCACAGCAAAAAGAGUUUAGGUUUGAAAUUAGUUGGCUCAAAUCUGAAGAAUUCCUACCUUUGGUAGAAAAGAUUUGGAACCAACAUGUUAAAGCUACAGACCCCAUUGAUGUGUUAAACAUCAAACUGAAACGCUUCAAAAAGUUCUUCAAAGGCUGGGGUUCUAAUAAGUUUGGGCAUGAGAAGAUUCGAAAGAGAAACAUCAGAGAUGAGUUGGCAAAAAUUGAGAAAGAAGAAGAGGGGUGGUAUGGUAGACCCAGCUAUGUUCUGCAGGAAAACUGA